rnacentral:tRNA from 1 species
AAAUAAGAAGCAAUUUGCAUUCAGUUUCGACCUGAAAGAAAGAUAUUUAUAUCCUUAUUUA